UACGUAGGGACCAAGCGUUGUUCGGAUUUACUGGGCGUAAAGGGCGCGUAGGCGGCGCGGUAAGUCACUUGUGAAAUCUCUGAGCUUAACUCAGAACGGCCAAGUGAUACUGCAGUGCUAGAGUGCAGAAGGGGCAACUGGAAUUCUCGGUGUAGCGGUGAAAUGCGUAGAUAUCGAGAGGAACACCUGCGGCGAAGGCGGGUUGCUGGGCUGACACUGACGCUGAGGCGCGAAAGCUAGGGGAGCGAACGGG
rnacentral:rRNA from 1 species